rnacentral:lncRNA from 1 species
UGAAUAAAUAAACCAAUAUGAUAAACCAAUAAGAACAAUUCAAGUUUCAAACUACAACGUUCAUGUAGCACCCAAAACUCUAGAACUAAUAAAUUAUGAUAUUAAAGGAAAAGAAGAGAAGAAAAAACUAGUUAGAAGCUUCCUCCAAGCGUAAUGUUCUUCCCUUUGGUCGCAAAAAACUCCUCCAAAAUUGGUGUUUAAUUACUAUUUAUAUGUGUAGGGAAGAGAUCUAAACGAAAUAACCAAAUCCAAAACCAAAUAAGAGACGAAAUAGGCUUUAAAAAUUCGGAGCGCGCUCGCCCCAGGCCUCGCUUCGUGAGGCAAAACGCACGCCUCGUCUCGCUGUACACUGUGCCUCGCAAGCUCUGUAGCGAGCUCCUCCUCGCUUUAGGCCUCGCGUCGCUCUGUCAAAUGCGAGCUAGAAAGCUUGCGUCGCGAGAAUUGCAUCUCGCUACGCCUGCUGCUUCUUUGCUGAUUUGUUUCAACUUUCUGUUGCUUAACUUAACUUUUGCAUUUCACGUUUCUUUUUUGUUUUCCUUUCCAAAAUCCUUGCCUUCGUUUCUUUUUUUUUGGUCUUCUUUUGCAUUGGUUACACUUUUGUCUUCCUUUAUAAUUAAAUACCUACUAAUUAAAUAAUCAUACUUCAUUUUUGUAGUGUAUAAAAUACACAUAAAAUCUCUAUUUUGCUCCCAAUUUUGUCUUUAAUAUACCUACACAUAAAAUAGACUCAAUUAAGCACAAAUAUAGUAUAGAUUAGCAUUAAAGCACCAAAAUAUAAGGUAAGUAAUACACUAAAAGUAUAAAAUUAUAGCCAAGUAUCACUACCCCACACUUAAACGUUGCUCGUCCUCGAGUAAUUAAACUACACUUUAUAUAGACACGGCAUUUUUAAACAAUUCUCCUAACUCAUCUCACCAAGAAUCUUUAAAAUAGAUUAAGCACAAGAGUGUAACAUUUUCACCUCAAGAUUUGACUCACAAGUACCAUGCAUUGUUUACAACUCACUCACUUAUUCUAACAUAGAGGUCAAUGACAUUAUCUUUCCUUCAUGAAUCAAGUGCCCGCACACAACAAAAGAGAUUAGUUUCACACACUUAAAAUUUAAGAACAAUUAGGAACUCAAGAUAGAAAGGGUCAUAGCAAGUAAGCCAAAGUAAAGAAAUCAUGAAUCAAUCAUAUAAGGCAAAGAUGUAAAAAUUGUAUAAAACUUAUCAAACCCAAUUGGCAUGAAUAUUUACAGAAACUUAAGAACGCAAAAAGGGAGGAAAAGAAACUCAAAAGUGACUGCCUCGACAGCGAAAUGAACUAACAACAAGACUUUUGAACCAAAAAAAAUCCAAAACUCGCCACCAAUCGGAGACCUCGACCGUCGGAACCUGCCCAGAGGCAGAUGCAAGGCAUUGGUAUCGGGUUCAACUGAACCCAGUACUUUUAGCGCGGAAUAUAAAUUUAUGUAUAAAAAUUCAAUAAUAUUGUAAUAUAUAGAAACAUGAACCCAUAACUUUAAAAAUAUAAUGAGUUCAAUGCUAAAAACUUUACAAGUUGAACCCAUAAAACUUAAAUCCUAGAUUCGACUCUGAACCUGCCGGUAACACUGAAACUCGGUGUUGGAAAAAAAAGCUAAAAGAGGAGCUGUUUGUGACUGUUUUCGGAUGUUUUUCAUGGCUGAAACUUGGUGAGACUAAGGGCAAAAGAAGACUGAUGGAGGAGAAGAGGGACGCUCACUUUUUCCAUUCCUUCCUC